rnacentral:lncRNA from 1 species
CCACUUCUUUCCCCUUGGCCGCCGCCCCCCCUGCCCAUCUUCUCCUCUCUCCAUUGUUGCAGCCACCAAACCCUAGCCCCCCCCUCAAUCCCCUCCUCUCAAGGUGCCAAUCCUUGCCGCUCGGAUCAUCGUCACGUGGUGCGAGUCUUCAAUCGUUUUGGUGGAGGGAAGAAGGGAGGAAGGAAAGGGGGAGAAUCCAAGGUGAUUUUUGUGUUCAUCCCUUGUUCAUUUGCGCUGCAAUUUAAUUGAUUAGAGGUUGCGUUUGCGAUUGCGUAGAGGGAGCUGUCCAGAAUUUUAGGUGGUGGAUGAACAGCAGUAGUUCUAGCAGUUCUGUGUUUUUUUCGUGAGAAAUUAAGGGAAAACAGUUUGGGGAUCAUGUAGAACUUUGUCUUACCUUUCCAACGAGUAUUUAUGCGCUCAAUUUGGAGUUAUAAAUUGAAAGUUAUCACCGUUUGAAUCCGGGUAUGUGGCUGUCCAAAAAACAGAUUUUCAGGGGGAUGAACAGCAGCAGUAUUAGCAGUUUCUGGGGAUUUUUCGGGAGUAAUUAGGGUUAAUCAGUAUAAGAAUCAUGAAGGGCUCUUUCUUAUCUUUCCAACAAGUACUUAUGCGCUUGAUUCGGAAUUAUAUUUUAAAAGUUAUCGCUGUUUGAAUCCGAGUAUGUCGCUGCCCAAAACAGAAAAAAAAACAGAUUGCAGGGUUUAUUUUGUGGACCGUUUAGGGGUAAUUAGAUGUUAGAAUUUAAUCAUAAGUUGUAUACAAAACUUGUGGGGAAUUUUAUGUAGUUGCCUCUGGAGUUUUUGUUUGACACCACUGCUGUCUUAAUUUUAAAGUUAUGGAAUUGUUAAGCAGCGCCGCUGCAGUUUGGUUGGUGUUGGGAGAAUUGUUACCCGCGGCGGGGUCGGAGAUUGCGCGUAGGUGCGGCGUUGUUUUGAGUUUUUUUAUGUGAAUUUGGUGCACUAAGUUGGGUGUCAAAAACUGGUGGUGGACUCCUAGAUCGUUCUUAGGGAUUUGCCCAAACUUCUGGUGAAGGCAAGUAAAACUGUGAUGGUUAUUCCGUCUGUCAGAUGAGGAGUCUUAUACUUGUUUAUGUUGUGCUAUUAUGUUCAAAUUCAUAGUUUCUUUUGAGUACCAUCAUUUGAAAAUGUUCAUGUUUCAUGAAUUUCAUAUGUUGAGUUUGAGGUUUGAUUAUGUUACUCAAGUGGUUAUUAUGUGGAAUGGGUGGAAGUAAAUGCCUAGCACAUUUUUAUUUGGAAAGAACUCAUGAUGUUGCCAUGCAUAAUGCACUCAUCAUCCAUUGCAUUGAAGUUUCGUCGCGAUCUUAUGGUCCGACCGUACCGGUACAUUGAGCAUCAUAUGUUGCCCGAGAAGGGGUAUGGUGCAGCUUCAUAUCCUUAGAGAUAUGGAGGCAGAAGUCAUUCUUGCAUUUGUAGCCAUAUGCAUUCAUGGGAGAGGUGUUGAAUCUAUUAUGUGGAUGUGGAUAAUUUGGGCUUGUGCAUGGUGAUUCUACUUGGCGUUGAGCUUUUAGUUACUUGUUUACUUGCUGCAAUUUACUGUUCAAAAGAAAAGAAAGAAGUCCUGAACACGUGGUUGUGUAAGCACAGUUGAUUUGCAAUGUCCUAUUUGUUGUUGUUAUGUUUACUUGCUGAGAUGUGUUAUCUCACAUCUUGCAUUGUUUGAUGCAGGCACCUAAUUUCUGCUUUGGGAAUAGAGGGAUGUAGCAGCACGGCCACUACACCUUUAAUAAAGGAACCACCAUUUAAUAAUGUUGUUAAUCAGAGUUGGACAAGUCUAGUGAAUUGCUUUGUUCUUGGUUGAGCGUUUAUUUUGGGGUGGGCUGAGUCUUAUCCCAUUUGUUUUGCUUCAGUUGGGUCAUAAUUAAGUUUUGCCACUAUUGCAUUUCAGUUUCUACUAUGUGAAUUAUAUGUCUUUAUAUCUUGUAUGAGCUUCAUGAUUCUCCUCCUUGUUAUGCUAGUUUUCAAAGGAGGUGCUGCCGGAUUUUGCUAUAUAUUCUUUCUUUAUUACUUCUCUUGUGUUGAGUAAGUUUGGUGGGUGGGGUUUGUGGUAUUAUCCAUUGUGUGUGACCAGUGGGGUGUUACAAAAAUUUUCUUAUUAGGAAAGAAGCUUCGAAUUUAAUUCUGUUAUUUUUGCUUUAGCGUCCACUAAUAAGCCUUCGGCUGUUUGUAGCUCGAAGUCUUUCUUCUCGAUGGCAGCAGAUUGCUCUUUUAUCUUGUUUUCUAAGUUUUCAAUUAUAACUUCGUGCCUUUUAUCCUCUAAGUCUUGCUGCAUUUUUAAUGUCUUGCUCAAAAGUAUACUCUGUGGACAAAUAACCUUCGUUAGAAAAUAUUUCCGUAACCACAAAUAAUAAAAGUUAGAUACAAGACAUUUACCUUAAAAUUAGAAUAGAACAAACUGCC